CCCUUAGAUGUCCUGGGCCGCACGCGCGCUACACUGAACGGAUCAGCGCGUUCUCCCUUCCCGAGAGGGACGGGUAACCUGCUGAACCCCGUUCGUGGUAGGGAUCGGGGCUUGCAAUUAUUCCCCGUGAACCAGGAAUGCCCAGUAAGUGCAAGUCAUAAGCUUGCGUUGAUUACGUCCCUGCCCUUUGUACACACCGCCCGUCGCUACUACCGAUUGAACGUUUUAGUGAGGUACUCGGACUGAGCCUCAGAAGAUUCACGUCUUUUGUGCUGCUCGGGAAGAUUCCCAAACUUGAGCGUUUAGAGGAAGUAAAAGUCGUAACA
rnacentral:rRNA from 1 species